rnacentral:rRNA from 1 species
GCAGCUAUGCCGCGUGUGUGAAGAAGGCCUUCGGGUUGUAAAGCUCUGUCAGGUGGGAAGGAAACACCGCGAGGUUAAUAAGGSUAGACUUUGACGGUACCACCGRAGGAAGCACCGGCUAACUCCGUGCCAGCAGCCGCGGUAAUACGGAGGGGGCAAGCGUUGUUCGGAAUUAUUGGGCGUAAAGAGCGUGUAGGCGGUUUGUUAAGUCAGUUGUGAAAUCCCUGGGCUCAACCCAGGAAGUGCAUUUGAAACUGCCRGCCUUGAGUAUUGGAGAGGAAGGUGGAAUUCCCGGUGUAGAGGUGAAAUUGCGUAGAUAUCGGGAGGAACACCAGUGGCGAAGGCGGCUUCCUGGACCUAUACUGACGCUGAGACGCGAAAGCGUGGGGAGCAAACAGGAUUAGAUACCCUGGUAGUCCACGCCGUAAACGAUGAGCACUAGGUGUAGCGGGUAUUGACCCCUGCUGUGCCGUAGCUAACGCAUUAAGUUCUCCGCCUGGGGAGUACGGCCGCAAGGCUAAAACUCAAAUGAAUUGACGGA